rnacentral:lncRNA from 10 species
ACGGGGCCUGGCUCUGGGCUUGGUCACAGGAUCUGAGGCUCACAGCCUCCGCUGUCCCCUAGCUCCGGCCAGAGCUGACCACCUCCCUGGAGAGCGCCUGCCGCCGGGCUGACUUUCCAUUUUCUUCUUCCUUCUGCUAUUUUGGUGCCGUUCCCGGAGGGAAAGCCCGCUCAACGUGCAGGGUUCCCGAGGCUGGGGGGGGCCGGGGGAGGGAACGAGAGCUGGGGGGCGAGGGGGGAGGGGAAGCUCUGGAGCCCCGGGGAGGGGGAGAAGGGGGACUUCCCUUGGGAGGCUCAGAGACGGGAGGGGGCCACAGCGAGGGGGAGGGGGGAGCUGCCAUCCCCUGGGAUGGGGACGGUGUGGGGGCGCCCCGGAGCCCCCGGAGGGAGCCCGAGGCCCAGGGCACCGUGUUGGGACCCUGUGUGGCCCGGCUUCUGUUUGGUUUGACCCAAGGCAGGUGGGAGCGGCCCGGGUCUGGGCGGGGAGUGGGGUCUGGGGCUCCUGACCCUGUUUUUAUUCCUCCUGCCCGCCCAGGGCA